UACGAAGGGGGCUAGCGUUGCUCGGAAUCACUGGGCGUAAAGCGCACGUAGGCGGAUUGCUAAGUCAGGGGUGAAAUCCUGGAGCUCAACUCCAGAACUGCCUUUGAUACUGGCGAUCUCGAGUCCGGGAGAGGUGAGUGGAACUGCGAGUGUAGAGGUGAAAUUCGUAGAUAUUCGCAAGAACACCAGUGGCGAAGGCGGCUCACUGGCCCGGUACUGACGCUGAGGCACGAAAGCGUGGGGAGCAAACAAG
rnacentral:rRNA from 1 species